rnacentral:rRNA from 1 species
UAAUACCAGCUCUCCGAGUGGUGUGGAUGUUUAUUGGGCCUAAAGCAUCCGUAGCUGGCCAAGUUAGUCCCUUGUUAAACCCACCGAAUUAAUCGUUGGCGUGCGGGGGAUACUGCUCGGCUAGGGGACGAGAGAGGCAGACGGUAUUCUCGGGGUAGGGGUGAAAUCCUAUAAUCCCGAGAAGACCACCAGUGGCGAAGGCUGUCUGCUAGAACGCGCCCGACGGUGAGGGAUGAAAGCUGGGGGAGCGAACCGGAUUAGAUACCCGGGUAGUCCCAGCUGUAAACGAUGCAGGCUAGGUGUUUGGACGGCCACGUGCCGUUCUAGUGCCGCAGGGAAGCUGUUAAGCCUGCCGCCUGGGGAGUACGGUCGCAAGAUUGAAACUCAAAUGAAUUGACGG